UACGGAAGGCAGCAGUGGGGAAUUUGGACAAUGGGCGCAAGCCUGAUCCAGCCAUGCCGCGUGAGUGAAGAAGGCCUUCGGGUUGUAAAGCUCUUUCGGACGGAAAGAAAUCGCGCAGGCUAAUACCCUGCGCGGAUGACGGUACCGUCAUAAGAAGCACCGGCUAACUACGUGCCAGCAGCCGCGGUAAUACGUAGGGUGCGAGCGUUAAUCGGAAUUACUGGGCGUAAAGCGUGCGCAGGCGGUUGAUUAAGACAGGCGUGAAAUCCCCGGGCUUAACCUGGGAACUGCGCUUGUGACUGGUCAGCUAGAGUACGGCAGAGGGGGUGGAAUUCCACGUGUAGCAGUGAAAUGCGUAGAGAUGUGGAGGAACACCGGAUGGCGAAGGCAGGCCCCUGGGGCCGAUACUGACGCUCAUGCACGAAAGCGUGGGUAGCAAACAGGAUUAGGAAUACC
rnacentral:rRNA from 1 species